GCGGUGGAGCAUGUGGUUAAUUCGACGCAACGCGAAGACCUUACCAGGGCUUGACAUCCCCUGACCGCGUAUGAAAGUACGUUUUCACCCUCGGGUGACAGGGAGACAGGUGGUGCAUGGUUGUCGUCAGCUCGUGUCGUGAGAUGUUGGGUUAAGUCCCGCAACGAGCGCAACCCCUACGUUUAGUUGCUAACGCGUGAAGGCGAGCACUCUAGACGAACUGCCGUUGACAAAACGGAGGAAGGUGGGGAUGACGUCAAAUCAUCAUGCCCCUUAUGUUCUGGGCUACACACGUGCUACAAUGGCCGGUACAGACGGACGCAAAGCCGCGAGGUGGAGCAAAUCCUAGAAAGCCGGUCUCAGUUCGGAUUGCAGGCUGCAAUUCGCCUGCAUGAAGUCGGAAUCGCUAGUAAUCGCAGGUCAGCAUACUGCGGUGAAUACGUUCCCGGGCCUU
rnacentral:rRNA from 1 species